UACAGAGGUCUCAAGCGUUGUUCGGAUUCAUUGGGCGUAAAGGGUGCGCAGGCGGCGCGGUAAGUCGGGUGUGAAAUCUCGGAGCUUAACUCCGAAACUGCAUUCGAUACUGCGGUGCUUGAGGACUGGAGAGGAGACUGGAAUUCAUGGUGUAGCAGUGAAAUGCGUAGAGAUCAUGAGGAAGACCAGUGGCGAAGGCGGGUCUCUGGACAGUUCCUGACACUGAGACACGAAGGCCAGGGGAGCAAACGGG
rnacentral:rRNA from 1 species